GAUGAACGCUGGCGGCGUGCCUAAUACAUGCAAGUCGAGCGAACAGACGAGGAGCUUGCUCCUCUGACGUUAGCGGCGGACGGGUGAGUAACACGUGGAUAACCUACCUAUAAGACUGGGAUAACUUCGGGAAACCGGAGCUAAUACCGGAUAAUAUAUUGAACCGCAUGGUUCAAUAGUGAAAGACGGUUUUGCUGUCACUUAUAGAUGGAUCCGCGCCGCAUUAGCUAGUUGGUAAGGUAACGGCUUACCAAGGCGACGAUGCGUAGCCGACCUGAGAGCGUGGUCGGCCACACUGGAACUGAGACACAGUCCAGACUCCUACGGGAGGCAGCAGUAGGGAAUCUUCCGCAAUGGGCGAGAGCCUGACGGAGCAACGCCGCGUGAGUGAUGAAGGUCUUCGGAUCGUAAAACUCUGUUAUUAGGGAAGAACAAAUGUGUAAGUACCUAUGCACGUCUUGACGGUACCUAAUCAGAAAGCCACGGCUAACUACGUG
rnacentral:rRNA from 1 species